rnacentral:lncRNA from 1 species
GAGCACGGCUUUUGAAAAUAGAGAGGUAGAGCAGCUAGGAGCUAAAUAUUAGAAGAGCGUCCUCUCUUUUCUUCGGGAAAUCGAGUUCGCUGGGCUGGUUCCCUGUCCCCGAUAUGUAACGAAAAGAUUGAUUGGUUUACCGCAUUCAUGAAAGCACUUGCCUCUCUGGUGGUCCUUUACCUUUCUAAAAGAGAAGAGAAGAGAGGUAGUCGCAGCAGGAGAAGGAGCCCUAAACCCUGAGGAUCACUCGACCCCGACCGGUCAAUCUCCUGUCAUUGCUAUCUCGUGCGCGAAGGGUUGCCCAUGCUCCUAAUUAAGUCCAUCCGGGUCUUCCNN